GUGAAAUACGUUACAGUUUCAUGAUGUUAUGGUUGUAGUGCAACGGUUUGGGGUCUAACCGUAAGCCCUUUCCCUCGUAGUGCUUUGUUAUAUUCCGGUUUUAAUCAGGUUGACCAAAAAAGGUUCAACAACUCACUUCAGCAUUUGUUUUUCCCCUCGUCGCCAUCUUGCCAGUCAAGCAGCGACUUGUUCAAAAUUUUUUAUUUUUGGUAAACUCUUUGUGCACAAACAAUGUUCUCAAUGCUCGAGUUCAUGUGUAAAUCCCCUGGUGAGACUUCGUGCAAAGUUUCAUGUUGUGUCGAGCCUUCUUAGUGUUUUACAUAUAGUGAUUUUGAUGCGAUAAAAGUAGCCUCUAGUUCUCCCAUUCAAAAGGCCGUUUGACCAGAAAACGACAAUACGAUCAAUCUUAAAAGUGGCGUUUCCGUCCUAAUUAUGCUUUUAAACGAAGUUUGACUCUGGUACAUUCACAAAAAGAUCCUAGGUUGCAUUGUGGCGAGAGUUACGCUUUAAAUGGAUUGCAUAUAUAUUGCGCUUUGUUUGCUGCUGUGCACGACGUGUAUGCUUUGCCGCAUUGUAUGUUUUGUGUCAUCGUGUUAACCUGCUUGCGUUGUUGUUACAAAUAAGACAUAUCAGCUCUUUCAAUUAGUUUUAGUGUACAGUCAUUUUAGGCAAGUCACUCGGCGGCCACCUUGCAACGUACUUUGGGCAGUUAUCGGCAAGCUAUUUUCCUAUUUAAGUGAAUAGGGAAGCAUACAGGAAUAGAGGGAAUAUGUUUAGGUUACACAGCUGCCAUACUGGCUUUACAAACUAACCCCAUGCAUUUCUAUGGAUGCUGUGUCUCCCCAUUAGAAAGUCUCUGGGCUACAAUGCAAAAGUCCUGAGAAAUACCGUCACAUACAAUGUUUAUGUUGUAAUGUUUGUUUACACUGUAUACAUUCAAAUAUUAUUUUUGCAAUCAGUACAAAUUGUAUGGUCUUUUAUUUCAGAUGACUCCAGUCCACAAGCAAGAAAGCAUUCCAGGACGGAGCGUGUGUGGAAGCCCUGUCUGUCAGUAGACAUCACUGCCACCACCACCUGCAUAUGAGUCAACACCACACAGGAAACCAGCCGGUCGCCCAGAGCUGGAUGGGUGUAUUCUAACACAAGCUCGGCCUGCCACUUCAUCUUGGGACCCAGUUGAAGCAACUUUUCCUGACAAGCCCGUAUUAUGGUUUUGGUGUUGUCUUAGUUUGGUAGUCUGUUUUCUGUGUUGUGUUUAGCUCUGUUUUCUGUUUUAUUUUGAAGUCCCUGGUUUUCUGUCUUGUCUUGUCCUAUGUACUUCAUGUCUUGUGUUUCCCUCCUUUUUUGAUUGCUCUGCCCAGCCUAAUGUGUUUCACCUGUUUCCCAGCCCUUGUGUCACCUGUCUUGUGUUUUCUCAUUAGUCUGUGUAUUUAGCCUCUGUGUUCCCCUUGUCUUGUGUUAGAUCGUUUUGUCUUUGCCCUGUCUGUCUGUCUGUACCCAGUCUCUAUCCUGUCGGUAUGUUUUUGGAGUCUUCCCUGUAGUUUUUUUGUUGUCCUUGUCUCUGGAGAUCUUUUGGAUUUGUGACUUUGUCUUUUGCCUGCCUGCCUCAGUUUUGGACUUCUUGUGUUUGCUGUUUGCCCCUUUUGGAUCCCUUUUGUUUGGUUUGUUCCCAGCCUUUUGUUAAUAAAUCCUCCACUGCAAACGUUCGCCUGCCUGCCUGCCUGCUCUCUCCGCAUUUUGGGUCCGCCAUUCCCUACUCCUCCCAGCCACCCCUUAACAGCCCGGAGGUUCGACCGGAGGUACUGCCAUGCGUCUCAUGCUACGGCGAGUCGCAACCAAUUAUGUUCUAAAACUGUAUAUCCUGCGGGGCAGAAAGGGAAAGAAGGCCUUCCAGGACCUGACGAUCUGCAGGGUUAUAAC